GACAGAGGAUGCAAGCGUUAUCCGGAAUGAUUGGGCGUAAAGGCGUCUGUAGGUGGCUUUUUAAGUCCGCCGUCAAAUCCCAGGGCUCAACCCUGGACAGGCGGUGGAAACUACCAAGCUGGAGUACGGUAGGGGCAGAGGGAAUUUCCGGUGGAGCGGUGAAAUGCGUAGAGAUCGGGAGGAACACCUGUGGCGAAAGCGGCGCACGUGGACCACAACUGACGCUGAGGCGCGAAAGCUAGGGGAGCAAACAGG
rnacentral:rRNA from 1 species